AGCCAAAUUCAGCCGAACUAACCUGCCCCCCCCUUUUUCUCAUUUGGCAAACCCUAGAUCCCCUCCUUCAAACACUUAUCCGCCUCCCUAAACAGCAACCAGUGCCUUCAAGCCUUAAGGGAGGUUUUUAGCCUCGAGAUUCCUUCUACACUCGAUGUUCAACAAACAAGAAGGAUCCAUGGCAUAAGGUAAGGGAUUUCUUUUAUCUUUUUUCUUUCAAAUGCUUUUAAAGUUCUAAUAAUAAAAAAAGAAAAUAAAAAAGGCAUAAGAUCAAGAAAAGUUGGAUUUAAAAUCACCUUCAAAGAAAAAAAAACUGAUUUUGGAUUCCUCUUUCUCUUUUUUUUUACAAUAUGUGUGUAUAUUCCUUUGCUAUUCCGUUCCUCAACAGGAAAAAAAAGAAAGAAAAACCUCUCCCUUACAAUAAACAUAGGGCUUUUAUAUAGCCAAAAAUCCAAAGAAAAAAUACAAAGAAUUUCCUUUUCUAUUGUUUUUUCUUUGCUGCUUUUUUGUUUUUACUUGUCCUUGCUGUUGUGUUUGCUGUGCUGUUCUUGUUCUUUGUUUGUCUUCUUUUGCAGGUACAGAGGAGAACAUGGAGCACGUACGAAGGCUAUGCGCUGGCGUACGGAGGUAGCUGGCGAUCAGGGGCUGCUGGUGGCUCAGCUGCUGCGGCGCAAGAGAAACCUUAAGGUUCCUGAGGAUUGCUUGACCUUUGGGCCAAUCGGGCUGUAUUUUUGGGUCUAGGUUAAUGGGCCAUUUUAUUUGGUUUUGGGUCUAAACAAUGGGUUUGGGCUAUUGUAAUAAUUUCAGACUAAUGGACUUUUAUUAAUAUAUUUGGUUUAUUUAUUUAUUUAUUUUUUAAUUUUUGUGUUGUAACGGGCUGGGCAAAAUUUGGGCCUUACAGCGUUUACUGC
rnacentral:lncRNA from 1 species